UAACACGUGGGGAACCUGCCCCAUAGUCUGGGAUACCACUUGGAAACAGGUGCUAAUACCGGAUAAGAAAGCGGAUCGCAUGAUCAGCUUUUAAAAGGCGGCGUAAGCUGUCGCUAUGGGAUGGCCCCGCGGUGCAUUAGCUAGUUGGUAAGGUAAAGGCUUACCAAGGCGAUGAUGCAUAGCCGAGUUGAGAGACUGAUCGGCCACAUUGGGACUGAGACACGGCCCAAACUCCUACGGGAGGCAGCAGUG
rnacentral:rRNA from 1 species